rnacentral:tRNA from 1 species
GACUGCGUAGCUCAGUUGGCAGAGCAUAUUGGGCUAGUAUUCCAAAGGUCGUAGGUUCGAUUCCCACCGUGGCCA